rnacentral:lncRNA from 1 species
ACACAGAGCAGAAGCAGCCGCUAGCUGAUACCAGUAUUUUCAAUAUGACAGACAGAAGCAGCUUUAGGGUAGGGAGAGUCCAAUCACUCUGACAUGCUUAAAGAUCUCCACUGGAAGUAGCCUAUGUCAGGUGUGCUCAUAUUCUGUCAUUCAGAGCUACCUCAUGGCCAAGUUUCAGUGUCAGAGGGCUCUGCCAGGAAAGUGCCUCAAACCUAGAGAGGAAAUAAGCAAAAUGAUGCAAUCCUCCAGACUGAUAAAACCCGGCCUCCCACUGUCACAAGUUCUGUGUAAAGGUGGCAGUCUCUUCUUUCACCUUCAUCUUGGCAAGAGUGUCGGGAUUUGUUUCUCUCUGAGUUGACAUCUGUAUGUUUGGAGGAAGAGGGGAAAAAUGAACAACAAAAUCUGGAAAGGAGAUAAAGAACUUGGUGCUGGAGCGUGGACCUGGGAGCAGAGCAAUCAGCAGUGCUGCCAGCUGCGAGAAGUUUCUAAUAAGGAAAUUAGAACAUGAUCAUUUCUGGCUAUGUGACUCCGGUUCUAAAUAGGUUUUACAAAUAGAUAGUGAUUGAGCCUGGAAACACAAACAAAUUGGCUUUGUAGAAUAAAGGCUGAACUACA